CAGAGAAUGAAGCGUGAAAGCUCUUUUAUGGAGAUUACGGAUGCUUCAUUUAUUCCCGCAAAUGGCAAACACUGCCCGGGAAAAGACCGAGCGAGCGAGCUCCUUGUCUUGGAUCCUUAGCCGUCUCCGUGUUCACAAGCUCACUUGGCUGCAGAUGGAGCAUGAGCUGAUUUAUCCCCUGGAGCUGGAGGUCCGACUGCUGCCUCAUUGAGUCAUAAAAUGCCACAGAAAACUCUGAACUUGACUGCUUUUUUUCACCCACUGGGCUUGGAUUUUCUGAUGUGACUGGUGCUGAGACCAAAC
rnacentral:lncRNA from 1 species